rnacentral:rRNA from 1 species
GUGGGGAAUAUUGCACAAUGGGGGAAACCCUGAUGCAGCGACGCCGCGUGAGUGAAGAAGUAUUUCGGUACGUAAAGCUCUAUCAGCAAGGAAGAAAAUGACGGUACUUGACUAAGAAGCCCCGGCUAACUACGUGCCAGCAGCCGCGGUAAUACGUAGGGGGCAAGCGUUAUCCGGAUUUACUGGGUGUAAAGGGAGCGUAGACGGUAUGGUAAGUCAGAUGUGAAAGCCCGGGGCUCAACCCCGGGACUGCAUUUGAAACUAUCAGACUAGAGUGCAGGAGAGGUAAGGGGAAUUCCUAGUGUAGCGGUGAAAUGCGUAGAUAUUAGGAGGAACACCAGUGGCGAAGGCGGCUUGCUGGACGACAACUGACGCUGAGGCGCGAAAGCGUGGGGAGCAAACAGGAUUAGAAACCCUAGUAGUCC